UCCCCUUGGCAAUGGGCAAAAGAGACACCUUGUUGGUGGUGGUGCUCUCAUAAUAGUCAGAGGCAGAGCAAUUUACAGUCCUUUGUUCAUCUUAGCUUGAUACCUGGCUUGGUGACCAAAGCUGUUUUAUGCUUAGAAUACACAA